rfam:Capsicum annuum cultivar Zunla-1 chromosome 9, whole genome shotgun sequence
ACAUUAUGAUUUGGGAAUUGCAUAAUCUUAUUUUUGAACCAUUGCCUAACUUCAUACAAUGAUUCACCAUUAAGUUGGCAAAAGUUGGUGAUUUCAUCCCUUAAUUU